UUUGAAACUGGUUGACUAGAGUUUUGUAGAGGGUGGUAGAAUUUCAGGUGUAGCGGUGAAAUGCGUAGAGAUCUGAAGGAAUACCAGUGGCGAAGGCGGCCACCUGGACAAAGACUGACACUGAGGCGCGAAGGCGUGGGGAGCAAACGGGAUUAGAUACCCCGGUAGUCCACGCAGUAAACGAUGUCUAUUAGAAGUUUGUGGCUAUAUGCCGUGGGUUUCAAAGCUAACGCAUUAAAUAGACCGCCUGGGGAGUACGGCCGCAAGGUUAAAACUCAAAUGAAUUGACGGGGGCCCGCACAAGCGGUGGAGCAUGUGGUUUAAUUCGAUGCAACGCGAAGAACCUUACCAUCCCUUGACAUCCAGAGAAUCACCUAGAGAUAGAUGAGUGCCUUCGGGAACUCUGAGACAGGUGCUGCAUGGCUGUCGUCAGCUCGUGUUGUGAAAUGUUGGGUUAAGUCCCGCAACGAGCGCAACCCUUAUCCUUAGUUGCCAGCACGUAAUGGUGGGAACUCUAGGGAGACUGCCGGUGAUAAACCGGAGGAAGGUGGGGACGACGUCAAGUCAUCAUGGCCCUUACGGGAUGGGCUACACACGUGCUACAAUGGCAAAUACAAAGGGUUGCUAACCUGCGAGGGUAUGCGAAUCUCAUAAAGUUUGUCGUAGUCCGGAUCGGAGUCUGCAACUCGACUCCGUGAAGUUGGAAUCGCUAGUAAUCGUGGAUCAGAAUGCCACGGUGAAUACGUUCCCGGGCCUUGUACACACCGCCCGUCACACCAUGGGAGUGGGCUGCACCAGAAGUCAUUAGCUUAACCUUCGGGAUGGCGAUGACCACGGUGUGGUUCAUGACUGGGGUGAA
rnacentral:rRNA from 1 species